AGUGAACGCUGGCGGUAGGCCUAACACAUGCAAGUCGAACGGCAGCACAGUAAGAGCUUGCUCUUACGGGUGGCGAGUGGCGGACGGGUGAGGAAUACAUCGGAAUCUACUUUUUCGUGGGGGAUAACGUAGGGAAACUUACGCUAAUACCGCAUACGACCUACGGGUGAAAGCAGGGGAUCUUCGGACCUUGCGCGAUUGAAUGAGCCGAUGUUGGAUUAGCUAGUUGGCGGGGUAAAGGCCCACCAAGGCGACGAUCCGUAGCUGGUCUGAGAGGAUGAUAAGCCACACUGGAACUGGGACACGGUCCAGACUCCUACGGGAGGCAGCAGUGGGGAAUAUUGGACAAUGGGCGCAAGCCUGAUCCAGCCAUACCGCGUGGGUGAAGAAGGCCUUCGGGUUGUAAAGCCCUUUUGUUGGGAAAGAAAAGCAGCAGGUUAAUACCCCGCCGUUCUGACGGUACCCAAAGAAUAAGCACCGGCUAACUUCGUG
rnacentral:rRNA from 1 species